AUUAUGGCUCAGAGCGAACGCUGGCGGCGUACUUAACACAUGCAAGUCGGACGCGGCGCCCGCGGGUGGAAACACGUGCGGGCGCUGAGUGGCGGACGGGUGAGUAACACGUGGGUGACCUGUCCCGGAGACCGGGAUACCCCUUCGAAAGGAGGGCUAAUACCGGGUACGGUCCCCUGGCUGCGAGGCCGGGGGAGGAGAGGGAGCCCGAAAGGGUGACCGCUCGGGGAGGGGCUCGCGGCCUAUCAGCUAGUUGGUGGGGUAAUGGCCUACCAAGGCGAUGGCGGGUAGCUGGUCUGAGAGGACGACCAGCCACACGGGGACUGAGACACGGCCCCGACUCCUACGGGAGGCAGCAGUGGGGAAUUUUCCGCAAUGGGCGCAAGCCUGACGGAGUGACGCCGCGUGGGGGACGAAGGCCUUCGGGUCGUAAACCCCUGUCAGGAGGAAAGAAGGGUGGGGCGGUGAAUAGCCGCGUCACUGGACGGUACCUUCAGAGGAAGCCCCGGCCAACUCUGUGCCGGCAGCCGCGGUAAGACAGAGGGGGCAAGCGUUGCUCGGAAUCACUGGGCGUAAAGGGCGCGUAGGCGGGUGGAUAAGUCGGUCGUGAAAUCUGCGGGCUCAACCCGGAGGGGACGGCCGAGACUGUACAUCUUGAGGGGAGCAGAGGAGUCUGGAAUUCCCGGUGUAGCGGUGAAAUGUGUAGAGAUCGGGAGGAACACCGGUGGCGAAGGCGGGGCUCUGGGCUCGACCUGACGCUGAGGCGCGAAAGCGUGGGGAGCAAACGGGAUUAGAUACCCCGGUAGUCCACGCGGUAAACGAUGUCGACUAGGUGUGGGGGGGUCAGACCCUUCCGUGCCGGAGCUAACGCAUUAAGUCGACCGCCUGGGGAGUACGGCCGCAAGGUUGAAAC
rnacentral:rRNA from 1 species